rnacentral:rRNA from 1 species
GACGAACGCUGGCGGCGUGCCUAAUACAUGCAAGUAGGACGCAGUUGCGAACGUGUGAGUAACGCGUAGGUAACUACCUAUUAGAGGGGGAUAACUAUUGGAAACGAUAGCUAAUACCGCAUACUAGUAGAUGGACCUGCGUUGUAUUAGCUAGUAGGUAGGGUAAUGGCCUACCUAGGCAACGAUACAUAGCCGACCUUGGAAGGUGAGCGGGCAAACUGGGAACGGGGCCAGGCCCAGACUCCUACGGGAGGCAACCGGAGGGAAUCUUCGGAAAAGGGGGGAAACCUGACCGAGCAAAGCCGGGUGAGUGAAGAAGGUUUUCGGAUCGUAAAGCUCUGUUGUUAAGGAAGCGGUACUUAACCAGAAAGGGACGGCUAACUACGUGCCAGCAGCCGCGGUAAUUC